GAUGAACGCUGGCGGCGUGCCUAACACAUGCAAGUCGAGCGAGAACUUAUGUAAAGAAACUUCGGUAGAUUUACAAAAGGGAAAGCGGCGGACGGGUGAGUAACGCGUAGGCAACCUGCCCCAUACAGGGGGAUAGCCACCGGAAACGGUGAUUAAUACCCCAUAAAGCAUAGAUAACACAUGUUAAAGAUGUCAAAGAGAAUUCGGUAUGGGAUGGGCCUGCGUCUGAUUAGUUAGUUGGUGAGGUAACGGCUCACCAAGGCGACGAUCAGUAGCCGACCUGAGAGGGUAGGCGGCCACAUUGGAACUGAGACACGGUCCAGACUCCUACGGGAGGCAGCAGUGGGGAAUAUUGCACAAUGGGCGAAAGCCUGAUGCAGCAACGCCGUGUGAAUGAAGAAGGCCUUAGGGUCGUAAAAUUCUGUCCUAAGGGAAGAAAAAGAUGACGGUACCUUAGGAGGAAGCCCCGGCUACUCUCUU
rnacentral:rRNA from 1 species